rnacentral:rRNA from 1 species
AUGGCGCGGCCACAGCAGCGGUACCGCGGCGUGCGGCAGCGCCACUGGGGCUCCUGGGUCUCCGAGAUCCGCCACCCCCUCCUCAAGACGAGGAUCUGGCUGGGCACCUUCGAGACGGCGGAGGACGCGGCGCGCGCCUACGACGAGGCGGCACGCAUCAUGUGCGGCCCGCGCGUGCGCACCAACUUCCCCGACAAGGACGCCGCCCCGUCGUCGUCGUUCCUCUCCCCGGCGCUGGUCGCCAAGCUCCACCGCUUCAACGUGGCGUGCGGCUCGCAGGCCGGGCAGCAGCAGGACAAGGACGCCUCGACGUCGUCCGUGGGCGUGGACCCGCGCUCGCCGCCGGCGCCGUUCGCCGGGUACACGGGCAAUGCCAGCGCGGCGGCGGCCUCGGCGGCCGCCGGGUGGAGCGGCGGGUUCCUGGAGGAGCAGUACGUGGAGCAGAUGAUCGAGGAGCUGCUGGACUCCAACUUCUCCAUGGAGAUCUCCUACUAG